UGGGGAAUCUUGCACAAUGGGCGAAAGCCUGAUGCAGCGACGCCGCGUGGGGGAUGAAGCUUCUCGGAGUGUAAACCCCUUUCGAUCCGGACGAAUGCCCGCAAGGGAUUGACGGUACGGAUAUAAGAAGCCCCGGCUAACUACGUGCCAGCAGCCGCGGUAAUACGUAGGGGGCCAGCGUUGUUCGGAAUUACUGGGUGUAAAGGGUUCGUAGGCGGUGCGGCAANUUGGGAGUGAAAUCUCUGGGCUCAACCCAGAGGCUGCUUCCAAAACUGCCGUGCUUGAGUGUGGGAGAGGCUCGUGGAAUUGCAGGUGUAGCGGUGAAAUGCGUAGAUAUCUGCAGGAACACCCGUGGCGAAAGCGGCGAGCUGGACCACUACUGACGCUGAAGAACGAAAGCUAGGGGAGCAAACAGGAUUAGAUACCCUGGUAGUCCUAGCCCUAAACGAUCAGGACUUGGGGUGCCACCCGUUCGGGUGUCGUCCCGGAGCUAACGCGUUAAGUCCUGCACCUNNAGNGUACGGUCGCAAGACUG
rnacentral:rRNA from 1 species